GAUGAAUGCUGGCGGCGUGCCUAACACAUGCAAGUCGAGCGGUAACAGGGGUAGUUUACUACCUGCUGACGAGCGGCGGACGGCUGAGUAACGCGUGGGAACGUGCCCCAAAGUGAGGAAUAACUGCCCGAAAGGGUGGCUAAUGCCGCAUAUGAUCUUCGGAUUAAAGGAUUUAUCCGCUUUGGGAGCGGCCCGCGUUAGAUUAGGUAGUUGGUAGGGUAAUGGCCUACCAAGCCGACGAUCUAUAGCUGGUCUGGGAGGAUGAUCAGCCAGACUGGGACUGAGACACGGCCCAGACUCCUACGGGAGGCAGCAGUGAGGAAUCUUCCACAAUGGGCGAAAGCCUGAUGGAGCAACGCCGCGUGAAGGAUGAAGGCCCUCGGGUUGUAAACUUCUUUUAUAAGUGAAGAAUAUGACGGUAACUUAUGAAUAAGCACCGGCUAACUACGUGCCAGCCGCCGCGGUAAAAC
rnacentral:rRNA from 1 species